CCUGACGUGAAAGAAAUCGGAGAGGCAUCCCACGUUGAGUUUUUUGGGGACCAUGCAAAACUGAGAAAGAAACACACAAUUGGCAUUCCACGGUCAGCUGAUGGUUACUGGCUUAGUUAACCUGGUGUGAUCUUGUGACAAGUAAAACUAAAGAGUUAGAUUUUUAUAAAAUAUUUCUGACUUAAUUUUUUCCCAUAAAAUCUAAGCAUUAAAUUCUGCAAAAAAAAAAAAAAAAAAAAACACUGAGAAGUAUGUGAAAGAUUAUAUGUAUAAUGUUGGUUAAAACCCUGAAUGAGAAGGUAACAAAAGCUUAAACUUACUAGAAGAUAACAAAAUUUGCUUAUCACAAAGCAGACAAGUUACUAGCAGGUGAGGAAGAGCAUGGUGUCACUAGCAGGUGAGUAGAUGAUGCUGAUGUCACUAGCAGGUGUGUAGAUGAUGCUGAUGUCACUAGCAGGUGUGUAGAUGAUGCUGAUGUCACUAGCAGGUGUGUAGACGAUGCUGACGUCACUAGCAGGUGUGUAGACGAUGCUGACGUCACUAGCAGGUGUGUAGACGAUGCUGACGUCACUAGCAGGUGUGUAGACGAUGCUGAUGUCACUAGCAGGUGUGUAGACGAUGCUGACGUCACUAGCAGGUGUGU